rnacentral:lncRNA from 1 species
CGGUUGGUAAGAUCGAAAGAACUUAGUAAGAUCAAAAGAACUUAGGAUCUGUGUAUAAGAAACAUGUAACGGUCUUUGGCAUCAGAUAUCUACUAAACAUGUUGUACGAUGAGUUCUCCAACUCUUUUUUUGUUUUUCUGCGGAGAGGAUCACCGAUCUAUUAAUAACAUAAACAACAUUGAUAUUUCCUUUUUUUUGAAGUUUAAACUGUAAGAGUUGCGCAAUUGCAGUCCGACAGUAUUUAGAUAUAUAAUUUUUACAAAGUGAGACACUAAAGUGUGAUCUUCAAGGAUCGAACGGGCACACCUGACUAUGCUUGGUUCUCUACUUAGGUUUUGUCUCACGAAACAUGUACACUCUUCAUUAGGUUUACAAGGUCAUCCUCUGAAUCUUAAAAUCCGGAGACAAGAACUCUUUCCUAUGCCUCUCUCUUAAUUGUGUCGGCACCUUUCUCUUGGUUUCCACUUUGAUAUUAAUUCAUUUGUAUGGAUUGAGCUAUCUUAUAGCUUUCCACUUGAGUUAGUGUGGCUUGGUGGAACUGCACUUUUCACUAUGGGUCUUGUAAACCUGAAUGGAGAGUCUAC